rnacentral:rRNA from 1 species
GAUGAACGCUGGCGGCGUGCCUAAUACAUGCAAGUCGAGCGAACAGACGAGGAGCUUGCUCCUCUGACGUUAGCGGCGGACGGGUGAGUAACACGUGGAUAACCUACCUAUAAGACUGGGAUAACUUCGGGAAACCGGAGCUAAUACCGGAUAAUAUAUUGAACCGCAUGGUUCAAUAGUGAAAGACGGUUUUGCUGUCACUUAUAGAUGGAUCCGCGCCGCAUUAGCUAGUUGGUAAGGUAACGGCUUACCAAGGCAACGAUGCGUAGCCGACCUGAGAGGGGGAUAGGCCACACGGGAACUGAGACACGGUCCAGACUCCUACGGGAGGCAGCAGUAGGGAAUCUUCCGCAAUGGGCGAAAGCCUGACGGAGCAACGCCGCGUGAGUGAUGAAGGUCUUCGGAUCGUAAAACUCUGUUAUUGGGGAAGAACAAAUGUGGAAGUAACUAUGCACGUCUUGACGGUACCUAAUCAGAAAGCAACGGCUAACUACGUG